rnacentral:rRNA from 1 species
AUCAACGCUGGCGGCGUGCCUCAGACAUGCAAGUCGAACGCGAAAGUCCCCUUCGGGGGGCAAGUAGAGUGGCGCACGGGUGAGUAACACGUAGGUAAUCUACCUUUGGAUGGGGAAUAACAACCGGAAACGGUUGCUAAUACCGCAUAAUGCAGCGGCACCUAAUGGUGACAGUUGUUAAAGCGGGGGAUCGCAAGACCUCGCGUCUGAAGAGGAGCCUGCGGCGGAUUAGCUAGUUGGUAAGGUAACGGCCUACCAAGGCGAUGAUCCGUAGCCGGCCUGAGAGGGCGGUCGGCCACACUGACACUGACAUACGGGUCAGACUCCUACGGGAGGCAGCAGUCGGGAAUUUUGGGCAAUGGGCGAAAGCCUGACCCAGCAACGCCGCGUGAAGGAUGAAAUCCCUCGGGAUGUAAACUUCGCAAGAACGGGAAGAAUAAGUAAGGGUUAACAUCUCUUACGAUGACGGUACUGUUUGUAAGCUCCGGCUAACUCCGUGCCAGCAGCCGCGGUAAUACGGGGGGAGCAAGCGUUGUUCGGAUUUACUGGGCGUAAAGGGCGCGUAGGCGGCCACCGCAAGUCGACUGUGAAAUCUCCGGGCUUAACCCGGAACGGUCAGCCGAUACUGCGGGGCUAGAGUGCAGAAGGGGCAACUGGAAUUCUCGGUGUAGCGGUGAAAUGCGUAGAUAUCGAGAGGAACACCUGCGGCGAAGGCGGGUUGCUGGGCUGACACUGACGCUGAGGCGCGAAAGCUAGGGGAGCGAACGGGAUUAGAUACCCCGGUAGUCCUAGCCUUAAACGAUGAAUGCUUGGUGUCUGGGGUUUUAUAGUCCCCGGGUGCCGUCGCUAACGCUUUAAGCAUUCCGCCUGGGGAGUACGGUCGCAAGACUGAAACUCAAAGGAGUUGACGGGGACCCGCACAAGCGGUGGAGCAUGUGGUUUAAUUCGACGCAACGCGAAGAACCUUACCCAGGCUUGAACUGCAGAUGACACCCUACGAAAGUAGGCUUCCGCAAGGACGUCUGUAGAGGUGCUGCAUGGCUGUCGUCAGCUCGUGUCGUGAGAUGUUGGGUUAAGUCCCGCAACGAGCGCAACCCUUGUCUUCUGUUGCCAUCGGGUUAUGCCGGGCACUCUGAAGAGACUGCCGGUGACAAACCGGAGGAAGGUGGGGAUGACGUCAAGUCAGCAUGGCCUUUAUGUCUGGGGCCACACACGUGCUACAAUGGCCGGUACAAACCGUCGCGAUCCCGUGAGGGGGAGCUAAUCGGAGAAAGCCGGUCUCAGUUCGGAUUGUAGGCUGCAACUCGCCUGCAUGAAGUUGGAAUCGCUAGUAAUCGCGGAUCAGCACGCCGCGGUGAAUACGUUCCCGGGCCUUGUACACACCGCCCGUCACAUCACGAAAGCCGGCUGUACUAGAAGUCGCUGCGCUAACCCGCAAGGGAGGCAGGCGCCUAAGGUAUGGUCGGUGAUUGGGGUG